UACGUAGGGGGCAAGCGUUGUCCGGAUUUAUUGGGCGUAAAGAGCGUGUAGGCGGCCAUGUAGGUCCGUUGUGAAAACUCGAGGCCCAACCUCGAGACGCCGAUGGAAACCAUGUGGCUAGAGUCCGGAAGAGGAGAGUGGAAUUCCUGGUGUAGCGGUGAAAUGCGCAGAUAUCAGGAAGAACACCCGUGGCUAAGGCGGCUCUCUAGUACGGUACUGACGCUGAGACGCGAAAGCGUGGGGAGCGAACAGG
rnacentral:rRNA from 1 species